rnacentral:rRNA from 1 species
AUUGAACGCUGGCGGCGUGCCUAACACAUGCAAGUCGAGCGGUAACAGGUGUAGCAAUACAUGCUGACGAGCGGCGGACGGGUGAGUAACGCUUGGGAAUCUGCCUAUUAGUGGGGGACAACCCGGGGAAACUCGGGCUAAUACCGCAUACGCUCUACGGAGGAAAGCCGGGGACCGCAAGGCCUGGCGCUAAUAGAUGAGCCCAAGUCGGAUUAGCUAGUUGGUAGGGUAAUGGCCUACCAAGGCGACGAUCCGUAACUGGUCUGAGAGGACGACCAGUCACACCGGAACUGAGACACGGUCCGGACUCCUACGGGAGGCAGCAGUGGGGAAUAUUGGACAAUGGGCGAAAGCCUGAUCCAGCGACGCCGCGUGGGUGAAGAAGGCCUGCGGGUUGUAAAGCCCUUUCAGUGGGGAAGAAAAGCCUCGACCUAACACGUCGGGGUCUUGACGUAACCCAUAGAAGAAGCACCGGCUAACUCUGUGCCAGCA